rnacentral:rRNA from 1 species
AGUGAACGCUGGCGGUAGGCCUAACACAUGCAAGUCGAACGGCAGCACAGUAAGAGCUUGCUCUUACGGGUGGCGAGUGGCGGACGGGUGAGGAAUACAUCGGAAUCUACUUUUUCGUGGGGGAUAACGUAGGGAAACUUACGCUAAUACCGCAUACGACCUACGGGUGAAAGCAGGGGAUCUUCUGACCUUGCGCGAUUGAAUGAGCCGAUGUCGGAUUAGCUAGUUGGCGGGGUAAAGGCCCACCAAGGCGACGAUCCGUAGCUGGUCUGAGAGGAUGAUCAGCCACACUGGAACUGAGACACGGUCCAGACUCCUACGGGAGGCAGCAGUGGGGAAUAUUGGACAAUGGGCGCAAGCCUGAUCCAGCCAUACCGCGUGGGUGAAGAAGGCGUUCGGGUUGUAAAACCCUUUUGUUGGGAAAGAAAAGCAGCAGGUUAAUACCCCGCUGUUCUGACGGUACCCAAAGAAUAAGCACCGGCUAACUUCGUG